rnacentral:misc_RNA from 1 species
UGUGGGAGCGAGCCUGCUCGCGAUGGCGCCGGGUCAAUGGAGUCGAUGUUGGCUGAUCCACCGCUAUCGCGAGCAGGCUCGCUCCCACA